UUCGGAUCGUAAGUUCUUUUGUUAGGGAAGAACACGUACCGUUCGAAUAGGGCGGUAUCUUGACGGUACCUAACGAGAAAGCCCCGGCUAACUACGUGCCAGCAGCCGCGGUAAUACGUAGGGGGCAAGCGUUGUCCGGAAUUAUUGGGCGUAAAGCGCGCGCAGGCGGUCUUUUAAGUCUGAUGUGAAAUCUUGCGGCUCAACCGCAAGCGGUCAUUGGAAACUGGAAGACUUGAGUGCAGAAGAUGAGAGUGGAAUUCCAUGUGUAGCGGUGAAAUGCGUAGAUAUAUGGAGGAACACCAGUGGCGAACGCAACUCUCUGGUCUGUAACUGACGCUGAGGCGCGAAAGCGUGGGGAGCAAACAGGAUUAGAUACCCUGGUAGUCCACGCCGUACACGAUCAGUGCUAUGUGUUAGGGGGUUUCCGCCCCUUAGUGCUGCAGCUAACGCAUUAAGCACUCCGCC
rnacentral:rRNA from 1 species